rnacentral:rRNA from 1 species
AGUGAACGCUGGCGGCAGGCCUAAUACAUGCAAGUCGAACGGCAGCACAGCAGAGCUUGCUCUGUGGGUGGCGAGUGGCGGACGGGUGAGGAAUACAUGGGAAUCUGCCCAGUCGUGGGGGAUAACGUAGGGAAACUUACGCUAAUACCGCAUGCGCCCUUCGGGGGAAAGCCGGGGACCGUAAGGCCUGGCGCGAUUGGAUGAGCCCAUGUCGGAUUAGCUAGUUGGCGGGGUAACGGCCCACCAAGGCGACGAUCCGUAGCUGGUCUGAGAGGAUGAUCAGCCACACUGGAACUGAGACACGGUCCAGACUCCUACGGGAGGCAGCAGUAGGGAAUAUUGGACAAUGGGCGCAAGCCUGAUCCAGCCAUGCCGCGUGAGUGAAGAAGGCCCUCGGGUUGUAAAGCUCUUUUGUCCGGAAAGAAAAGCACUGGGUUAAUACCCCGGUGUCCUGACGGUACCGGAAGAAUAAGCACCGGCUAACUUCGUGCCAGCAGCCG